UGGGGAAUAUUGCGCAAUGGAGGGAACUCUGACGCAGCAACGCCGCGUGAAGGAUGAAGGCUUUCGGAUUGUAAACUUCUUUGACGAGGGACGAUAAUGACGGUACCUCGAAAACAAGCCACGGCUAACUACGUGCCAGCAGCCGCGGUAAUACGUAGGUGGCAAGCGUUGUCCGGAUUUACUGGGUGUAAAGGGCGUGUAGGCGGAAUGGCAAGUCAGAUGUGAAAUACGGGAGCUUAACUCCCGGGCUGCAUUUGAAACUGCUGUUCUUGAGUGAUGGAGAGGUAAGCGGAAUUCCCGGUGUAGCGGUAAAAUGCGUAGAUAUCGGGAGGAACACCAGUGGCGAAGGCGGCUUACUGGACAUUAACUGACGCUGAGGCGCGAAAGUGUGGGGAGCAAACAGG
rnacentral:rRNA from 2 species